rnacentral:piRNA from 1 species
UGCACUGAGAAGGUCUGAAAG